rnacentral:rRNA from 1 species
AACGAACGCUGGCGGCGUGCCCAACACAUGCAAGUCGUGCGAGAAAGUUCCUUCGGGAGCGAGUAAAGCGGCGCACGGGUGAGUAACACGUAGGUAACCUGCCCCCCAGUCUGGAACAACUAGAGGAAACCCUAGCUAAUGCCGGAUGAGACCACGAUCCCUUCGGGGGUUGCGGCCAAAGAUGGCCUCUACUUGUAAGCUAUCGCUGAGGGAUGGGCCUGCGGGCCAUUAGCUUGUUGGUGAGGUAACGGCUCACCAAGGCUGUGAUGGCUAGCUGGUCUGAGAGGAUGACCAGCCACACUGGGACUGAGACACGGCCCAGACUCCUACGGGAGGCAGCAGUGGGGAAUAUUGCGCAAUGGGCGAAAGCCUGACGCAGCGACGCCGCGUGGGUGAUGAAGGCC